rnacentral:rRNA from 1 species
UACAGAGGGUGCGAGCGUUGUCCGGAAUCAUUGGGCGUAAAGCGCGUGUAGGCGGCUCGGUAAGUCUGUUCUGAAAGUCCAAGGCUCAACCUUGGGAUGCGGAUGGAUACUGCCGAGCUCGAGUCCGGAAGAGGCGAGUGGAAUUCCUGGUGUAGCGGUGAAAUGCGCAGAUAUCAGGAGGAACACCAAUGGCGAAGGCAGCUCGCUGGGACGUGACUGACGCUGAGACGCGAAAGCGUGGGGAGCAAACAGG